rfam:Triticum aestivum genome assembly, contig: Triticum_aestivum_CS42_TGACv1_scaffold_131649_2BL
UAUAUACUCCCUCCGUUCGGAAUUACUUGUCUCAGAAAUGAAUGUAUCUAGAACUAAAAUACGUCUAGAUACAUCCAUUUCUGCGACAAGUAAUUCCGAACGGAGGGAGUACAAG